GUAGGGGACAAGCGUUAUCCGGAUUUACUGGGCGUAAAGCGCCCGUAGGCGGCCUGCCAAGUUGGAUGUGAAAGCUCCUGGCUUAACUGGGAGAGGUCAUUCAAAACUGGCCGGCUAGAGGAUGGAAGAGGAGAGCGGAAUUCCCGGUGUAGUGGUGGAAUGCGUAGAGAUCGGGAGGAACACCAGUGGCGAAAGCGGCUCUCUGGUCCGUACCUGACGCUGAGGGGCGAAAGCGUGGGGAGCGAACGGGAUUAGAUACCCCGGUAGUCCACGCUGUAAACGAUGGAUACUAGGUGUAGGCGGUCAUUAACCCCGUCUGUGCCGCAGCCAACGCGUUAAGUAUCCCGCCUGGGGAGUACGGCCGCAAGGUUAAA
rnacentral:rRNA from 1 species